rnacentral:rRNA from 1 species
UACGUAGGGUGCGAGCGUUGUCCGGAAUUACUGGGCGUAAAGGGCGCGCAGGCGGCCGAUCAAGUCAGAUGUGAAAUCCCCGGGCUCAACCUGGGAAUGGCGAUGGAGACUGCAAGGCUAGAGUUUGGCAGAGGGGGGUAGAAUUCCGACGUGUAGCAGUGAAAUGCGUAGAGAUGUGGAGGAACACCGAUGGCGAAGGCAGCCCCCUGGGUCAAAACUGACGCUCAUGCACGAAAGCGUGGGGAGCAAACAGG